GAUCCUUAUAUCUGUUGAAAGAAGAGCCGGUGGUCACACAGGAUCCACUCAGGAUUUGUAGAAUGAAUGAAUGUGCUCAGCCUUCUGCUCCCCAGCCCCUACCCCCUCCUGUUCUUCUUUUUCAACUUCCUUUUCCUGAAAUGACAAACAGCAGCACAACUAGGAAGACCCACGCCUGAGCUCACGGAUUUAUUCUUGGUGACAGUCGCCAUGAAGAGUUAGAAAAUCCAUUCUACCUUUCUUUGGAGAAAUCAAUACUACAAGUGAGACUUUGACUUUCUCAUGGAUCAGAAGAUUCUAGAUAAAGGUCCCAAGUCAUUUGCCACUGCCCAGGAGUCCGUGUUUAUCUUUACCUUGGGCCACUUCCUUCUCCACCCAAAGUGCAUAACCAAGGCUCUGCCUGAAGCUCUCUGUGCUGGUUUGAAUGUAUUAUGUCCCUCAAAAUGCCAUUAUCUGUGAUGUAAUCUUCUGUGGGCAGAUGUAUCAAUGUUGAUUAGAUUGUAAUUCUUUGAUUGUUUCCAUGG